rnacentral:rRNA from 1 species
UACGGGGAGCAAGCGUUGUUCGGAUUUACUGGGCGUAAAGGGCGCGUAGGCGGCCAGCACAAGUCAGUUGUGAAAUCUCCGAGCUUAACUCGGAAAGGUCAACUGAUACUGUGCGGCUAGAGUGCGGAAGGGCAACUGGAAUUCUUGGUGUAGCGGUGAAAUGCGUAGAUAUCAGGAGGAACACCGGUGGCGAAGGCGGGUCUCUGGCCGAUACUGACGCUGAGGAGCGAAAGCGUGGGAGCGAACAGG